UGGGGAAUUUUGGACAAUGGGGGCAACCCUGAUCCAGCAAUGCCGCGUGUGUGAAGAAGGCCUUCGGGUUGUAAAGCACUUUUGUCCGGGAAGAAAUCGCACCUGAUAAUACCGGGUGUGGAUGACGGUACCGGAAGAAUAAGGACCGGCUAACUACGUGCCAGCAGCCGCGGUAAUACGUAGGGUCCAAGCGUUAAUCGGAAUUACUGGGCGUAAAGCGUGCGCAGGCGGUUGUGCAAGACCGAUGUGAAAUCCCCGGGCUUAACCUGGGAAUUGCAUUGGUGACUGCACGGCUAGAGUGUGUCAGAGGGGGGUAGAAUUCCACGUGUAGCAGUGAAAUGCGUAGAGAUGUGGAGGAAUACCGAUGGAGAAGGCAGCCCCCUGGGAUAACACUGACGCUCAUGAACGAAAGCGUGGGGAGCAAACAGG
rnacentral:rRNA from 1 species